rnacentral:lncRNA from 1 species
GACGUUAGCCAAUAGUCACUCGGGUAGCAGCUAGCUAGCUGCAAGAUCCAGGUGUAAAUGUCCAGAGCCUGCGGUAGAAAUCCGGGGAUAUGGAGAGAAAAUAGGUCCGGUGUGCUCUGGUCUGAGUCGCACUGUACAAAACUGGCGAUAGCUUUUCGAGCAAAGGGAUAGCUGAUGACCGCCAACCGUGGCUAGCUGAACUCCAACGUUAGCCAGUGAACUGGCCAAACUCUGGCUAACCUCUGGCUAGCUUCUGCUGUGGAUUUCAGAUUUGAGCUCUCCCAGCUCCAUGGGACAAACAGGAAGUUCACCUUGCUGCAUGCCCUUGUGGAGCAGAUCAUGUUGCACGAAGCCGGCUUGGCCACUUUUCCCCAAGAGUUGGCGGAAUUCAAAACUGUCCCUGGGGCUUCCAUUAAAGGCCUCACUGCUGAAGUGGAUGUCCUCAAGAAUGAGUUACAGAAGGUCAUUCAGUACAGGAAAACGUACAAGAGAAGAAACCAAGGCGCGCAAUACCCAAAGUUUUCCAAAGACCUGAAGAUGAGCGCAUCAUAGUGUGGCGGUGAAGGGAAUUGCUAUUUGUCAAGUAUACUAUGACGAUUGAGAAGUACAACACAGAUCUCUCCCUGCUGACAAAGAGAUGUGAGGAAAUGAAGAAACUCUAUACUGACAUAUUGACACCUCCAAGUUCCUGGACAUUUCUGGGGGGAAUGGCCCUAGCAGUCACCCUCCGAUCCAACAGGUCCCAGACGUGCUCAAUGGGAUUGAGAUCCGGGCUCUUCGCUGGCCAUGGCAGAACACUGACAUUCCUGUCUUGCAGGAAAUCACACACAGAACGAGCAGUAUGGCUGGUAGCAUUGUCAUGCUGGAGGGUCAUGUCAGGAUGAGCCUGCAGGAAGGGUACCACAUGAGGGAGGAGGAUGUCUUCCCUGUAACGCACAGCAUUGAGAUUGCCUGCAAUGACAACAAGCUCAGUCCGAUGAUGCUGUGACACACCACCCCAGACCAUGACGGACCCUCCACCUCCAAAUCGAUCCCACUCCAGAGUACAGGCCUCAGUAUAACGCUCAUUCCUUUGACGAUAAAAGCGAAUCCAACCAUCACCCCUGGUGAGACAAAACCAUGACUCGUCAGUGAAGAGCACUUUUUGCCAGUCCUGUCUGG